CACACACACACACACACACACACACGAGGAGUGCAGGGGGGAGCUUUGCCCCCCCCCCCUCUUCCGCCCUAUCCCGUCGGUAGGGGUGCCCUGAAAAGUCGUAACCCACGUGGUAAGUCCGUUUGGUCUGUGUCCAUUUGUUACUGUGUCCGUUUCACUCAGCCUGCUGUGUCCGUUUAUUACUGUGCGCAUCUGGGACGCUCCCGCGUGAAGCGCAUGAGGUAAGACUGGCAGUGAGACUGACACGUGAACGGCUUUGAUGUUUGGCCGAGUUUUUCGAGAAUUUUCCUCUUUUACUAGCGUAUACACAUUUACAUAUACAUCUACUGUUCACUGUUGUCUACAACAGUAACAAUACUAGCUUGUGUGUAGUGUGUAUAUCGUAUAAUCGGUAAAUCUUUAACAGUUGACACUGUACGUUCUAGUAAUAAAGUUUUUUAUGAAGAUAAACUCUGAUGUGUGUUCUACGCGGAGUUCGAAACAACGAAUAAGUUUUUGUUUUAUUGUUUUUUAAUUAAUUAUAUUUGACUAUUAUUAAUAGUAAAGAAAAUUACUAAUCAAUAUUUCACAACCAUUAACGUAAAAUUCUUGAUAUAAAUGAAUGAAUUUAUUUUUAUGAUUUGUUGUUUCAUUUUUCAUAAAAUUAAUAUUUAAAAUAGUUGGAGAAAUGAGGUUAAUAGGAAUUCGCCGCGGUAAUUAAUGCGCUGUGAUUAUGGUUUGAGCUCUAGUUUAUUGCUUUAACUUAUCUCCAAACGUUUCAGCUAUGGAUUUAGCCAUCUUCAGUGUGUAUAUUAUUAAUAAAAGAAUUGUACAUAUAUACUUAUAACUUCGUCUUUGUCCUGUAGUAAGUAACUAAUGGGAUAUGAUUCCAAACAAGUUGAAUGACCAUAUUGAGAAAAACCACUAUGUCUCACCUAUUAAUUAAGUUUAUGACGUACAGGGUCAGUAUUAAUUUUGUUAUAACAUUAAAUUUAGUUAAUUAUAACAUUAAAUUUAGUUAUAAAAGUUAUUUAUAACAUUAAAAUUAGUUAUAAAAUUAAUCUUACCACAGGACAAUGAUCGGAUGCUAGUGUUACAAUUAAUAUGAUUUUUGUGUUUGUUGAUUCGAGUCUUUAAUUAUCUAGCCAUUUGACCAACAUAGGAUGCAUCACAAUUCUUGCAAUUAAUUAAAAUACUGCUAAAAUACUGGGACAACAAAAAACAUACGUUACUUACAGAUGUCUCAGAUAAAAACACUUUUACGUAAUAACUCGAAUAAAACAACUAUUUGUUUAAAGUCAACUGAACUUGAAAACAAAGUAAACAACUUAUUAUUAACAACAAUUAAAGAAAGAUGGUUUAUUAACUUAUCAACAAAAGUAAUUCCAGAUGAAAUUAUAAACUUUUCACAAUUAGGAGAUAAUUUUGAAUUACCAUGCUACAAUGAAAAUACUGAUUUUAUAAAAAACAGAAAACAAUUUAAAGGAGCUAAAGACAAAACAACAUUACAAGUAGAUUCAUCAUACUUAUUAAGAAAGCUACCAAACUGACUAACUACCAAUCAAACUAAUAAACUAGUUAAUAUUUUACAUUAAAAAACGGGACAGUUUUUAAACAACAGUUCUAACAUUAUUAUAAUGAGAACAGACAAAAAGAACAUCACUGUAGAGUUAGACAAAGACACAUACAAAUCCAAAAUUAAUAACAUGCUUAAUAACAAAGAAACAUACUCGCAAAGACAUAAAGAUUUAACUAAAUCUAAAACAAUGACAAAAAAGUGAGAAAACUCCUUGGUAGAUGGAAGGAUGUGGGAUACAUCACAGAAAAUAAGCAGAGAAAAUUAUAUAACAGUGAUGGUAGUCUCCCAAAAGCCUGUGGACUUCCAAAGGUUCACAAAGAGAAUUGCCCUUUUAGAAUAAUAGUUUCAUGCAUAGACAGUCCUACAUAUCUCUUGGCUACAUUUUUCCACGAGUUAAUUUCUGGGAAUAUUUCUAAGGCAAAAAGCCACAUUGGCAACAGUUUUGAAUUGGUCAAUAGUCUUAACAAUAAAGUAAUUGAGAAAGAAAUGUUUCUUAUAUCACUAGACGUAGUUUUAUUAUUUAUGAAUAUUCUGAUAGAUUUAGCCAUUAGAAGUAUAUAUUAAAUAGAUGGGAACAUAAAGAAAGAUCGUGACCUUCCGGAUGAUGAAUUUUUGAAUGCCAUCAGAUUUGUUCUUUGGUCCAUUUUUUCAUAUUUGAUUUAUAAGCAAAUUUAUAAGCAGUUUUUUAGAAUUGCUAUGGGCUCCCCACUUUCUCCGAGCUGACAUUGUGAUGCAGGAUUUGGAGAAUGGAGUGACCACGUUAGGUUUUAAAGUUCUGGUAUAUUACAAAUAUGUUGAUGACAUAAUCACAGUAUUACCUAUUUAGAGAUUGAUAACAUUCUUAAAAAGUUUAACUCAAUCCACCCCGCGUUACAAUUUACAAUGGAAAAAAGUAGAAACGAAAUUAAUUUUCUUGACGUUACUGUUAUUAAAAGCAACAACAGACUAAUCUUUGAUUGAUAUAAAAAAUCAACAUUUUUGGGCAGAUUUUAAAUUUCUUUUUUACUCAUUCCAUUCCCUCCUCCCCCCAAAAGGUAUGAUAAUGUGUUUGGUUGAUAGGAUGUUUUUUUUGUCGCAAUUUUAUCAGAAUUUUACCAGAAAAAUUUUGAAUUAAUUAUUAAAAAUUUGGAAGAUAACAAUUAUCUAAUCAAGUUCAUUUUUAAUAUAAUUUAAAAAAGAAUAAAAAAUUUAAUAGAAAACACAUUGAAACAAACAAAAUCCCAAUCUUAGCAAGAUUCACAUUUAGACGAAAAAACAAAAUGGUUUACAGUUCCUUUCAGUCAGAAACAUAUCGGAAAAGUUUAGAAAAAUGUUAAAGAAUACUAAUGGAAAAAUGGGUUUCUUUACUAACAAGCUGAACAAAAUUAAAGUUUAUAAAGACCCACUACUGAUUUUAACACAAAAAAUGUGCAUAAAAUUAAUUGCAAAAAUUGUGGUGCAUCUUAUGUUGAUCAAACAGGUAGACAAUUAAAGACUCGAAUCAGCAAAAACAAAAAUCAUAUUAAUCGUAAUACUAACACACAAUCUGUUAUCACUGAACAUAAGAUGAAUUACAAUCAUGAAUUUGAAUGGAAAGACGUAAAAAUUUGGAUGUGGAAAGAAACAUUAAUAAAAGAUUAAUAUCUGAAAUGGUUUAUAUUAAAAGUUUAAAUAACAAACUCUAUUACCAAAUGGAUACAGAAUACUUAGACCGCACUUACAAUGAAAUAAUUAAUAAGACGAAUUCUCAACACAAACAGAAUACUUGAAAAAGACUCCAUUCAUGUAAACAGCACAUAACAGACAGUAGGAUAGGACGUUAUCAGUUUACCGUUAGAUACACAUUGAAUAACUUCAAAAACAAUGCAGCACUGACCGGAGCUAAAUUGCUAGGAAGUUUAUCGUUUUAAUCAAAAAUAACAAAAAUAAUUAUAGUAUAUUAAAGGAACCUUUUACAUAAGACUUAUAAGAUUGUAAUCUUGACAAUACUUAUAUAAUUUGUGAAUGUGACUUGUGUAUGAAUGUAUCAAUACUGGCAAUGUUUUUUAUUAAGCGUGACACAUUAAAAUGACAGUGCUAAUAACCGUCGUAAAAAAAACGAUUGGUUGUCCUGUGACAUUCAACUUGUUUGGAAUCAUAUCUCAUUAGUUACUUACCACAGGACAAAGAUGAAGUUAUAAGUAUAGUAGCACAAGAAGAAUCAGAAAAACUUGAUAUAUCACAACUUGGGUGUCCAACUCAAAAUGACAGUACACAAUACAACACCAAGAAAACGGGCUCGUGUAGCAACAGUUUGUUCAAAAUCUGUAUUCUUCAGAAAAGAACGUGCUGAAGUAAUUACAAGAGCCUUAACAAAGUUAGUUGCAUCUUGCAGAUUAUCGUAUGAUUUUAUAUCUAGUUCUGCAUUUAGAAAAUUUAUGAAAGAACUGGAACCAAACUAUGAUUGUUCUUGUAGUCUAACGAUAUUUUGCCGCCUUCGUAUGUUUGAGAGUGAAAUAAAAACCAAAAUUGAAGUACAACUAACUGAAAGGCAGUAUGUUACUCUCGACACAGAUUGCUGGACUUCUAGAGCUCAAGAAGAUUACAAAUUUCAAUGCACAUUUUAUUGAUAAAGACUAGAUACCGCAUAUUAUUAAUCUCUGUACUAAAGUGCUUGAAGAACGUCAUACAAUUGAAAAUUUUGCAGACAGUUUAUGAAAUGUUAUUUCGCAAUAUGUUGUUGAAGAUAUAAUAAUUGCUGUAGUAAAAAUGUUAAUGCGAGAAAUAUUGUAUUAGCUAUAAACCUUAUACUACACGUUCAGGUCAAAGUUAUUUGUGCUGGUCAUAUAAUUUAUUUGGCAGUACAAAACGCCCUUAAUCAAGUAGAUGUAUAUAAUUUGUUAACAAAAGCCAGUAAGGUUGUCUCAUUUUCGACAUUUUGCUCUUGCUUCGAAAAAUAUUAUUGCUAUUUAAAAAAAAUUAGUUUUUUACAAAAAAAAAUUUUUUAAUUGAACUUAUAUCGAAAUAGUUUAAGCAUAAUCUUAAGAAGUGUAAAUUUCGCGCCCAUGGACUCUAAACUUUAAAAUACAUGUCCGACUAUUUAAAAAUUAAAGAUGACGGCAUCCAAAAUGGCAGUUUAUAACUGGAAAAUUUAGGCCGGUAUUCAUAGUCAAAUCUUAUUUCAAGAUCGUCUCAAGGAAUGUCUUAAGAUGCUAAUACGGCUCUGUGAUUGGUUGAUGGCAUCUUAAGACAGUAUUUAAGAUGAUCUUAAAUAUAAGACCCGACUAUGAAUACCGGUUUUUAGAAUACUGUUCAAUUUCAACAGAAACAAAGAAAGAAAUGAUCGAAAAUAGAUCUGUAGUGAUCAAAAUUAAUUCAAGGGUUUUUGAAGUCGCUGAUUGCAAAUUCGAUGUCAAAAUUACAAAAUUAAAAAUGGCGGAUUCAAAAUGGCGGAUCGCAUUCGCAGAUUUUUUAAUAAAAUUGACUUGUAAUUGGGACCAUGGGGUUUUGAGGAUUGUUGAUUACAAAUCUGAUGUUAAAAUUGCAAAACUCAAAAUGGCGGAUCUAAGAUGGCUGAUUGAAUUUGGAACAUUUUUAUACAACAGGUUUUUAAUGUUCUAUAGGAUUUAGUCUUAAUCAUUUAGUGAAAUAUGAUACUAUAAAGAACUUAUUGUUAGUAAUUUUUAUAAUGUAUUUUUUUAUUUAUUUUGAUAUUAACUCGCUUAACCUAAAAAAUAUUGUGAAAUUGGAAAUAAGACAAAGCUCAAAUUAUAGAAGCAAA
rnacentral:lncRNA from 1 species